CGCUAGCUACAGGCUUAACACAUGCAAGUCGAGGGGCAGCAUGGUCUUAGCUUGGUAAGGCCGAUGGCGACCGGCGCACGGGUGAGUAACGCGUAUCCAACCUGCCUUACACUCUUGGACAGCCUUCUGAAAGGGAGAUUAAUACAAGAUGUUAUCAUGAGUAAGCAUUUUCGCAUGAUUAAAGGUUUACCGGUGUAAGAUGGGGAUGCGUUCCAUUAGAUAGUAGGCGGGGUAACGGCCCACCUAGUCUUCGAUGGAUAGGGGUUCUGAGAGGAAGGUCCCCCACAUUGGAACUGAGACACGGUCCAAACUCCUACGGGAGGCAGCAGUGAGGAAUAUUGGUCAAUGGACGAGAGUCUGAACCAGCCAAGUAGCGUGAAGGAUGAAGGUUCUAUGGAUUGUAAACUUCUUUUAUACGGGAAUAAACGAAUCCACGCGUGGAUUUUUGCAUGUACCGUAUGAAUAAGGAUCGGCUAACUCCGUGCCAGCAGCCGCGGUAAUACGGAGGAUCCGAGCGUUAUCCGGAUUUAUUGGGUUUAAAGGGAGCGUAGAUGGGUUGUUAAGUCAGUUGUGAAAGUUUGCGGCUCAACCGUAUAAUUGCAAUUGAUACUGGCAGUCUUGAGUACAGUUGAGGUAGGCGGAAUUCGUGGUGUAGCGGUGAAAUGCUUAGAUAUCACGAAGAACUCCCAUUGCGAAGGCAGCUUACUAACCUGUAACUGACAUUGAUGCUCGAAAGUGUGGGUAUCAAACAGGAUUAGAUACCCUGGUAGUCCACACGGUAAACGAUGAAUACUCGCUGUAGGCGAUAUACAGUCUGCGGCCAAGCGAAAGCAUUAAGUAUUCCACCUGGGGAGUACGCCGGCAACGGUGAAACUCAAAGGAAUUGACGGGGGCCCGCACAAGCGGAGGAACAUGUGGUUUAAUUCGAUGAUACGCGAGGAACCUUACCCGGGCUUAAAUUGCAACCGAAUAUGGCGGAAACGCUAUAGCUAGCAAUAGCGGUUGUGAAGGUGCUGCAUGGUUGUCGUCAGCUCGUGCCGUGAGGUGUCGGCUUAAGUGCCAUAACGAGCGCAACCCUUGCCGAUAGUUACUAACAGGUUAUGCUGAGGACUCUGUCGGGACUGCCAUCGUAAGAUGUGAGGAAGGUGGGGAUGACGUCAAAUCAGCACGGCCCUUACGUCCGGGGCUACACACGUGUUACAAUGGGGGGUACAGAGGGCUGCUACCACGCAAGUGGAUGCCAAUCCCAAAAACCUCUCUCAGUUCGGAUUGAAGUCUGCAACCCGACUUCAUGAAGCUGGAUUCGCUAGUAAUCGCGCAUCAGCCACGGCGCGGUGAAUACGUUCCCGGGCCUUGUACACACCGCCCGUCAAGCCAUGGGAGCCGGGGGUACCUGAAGUGCGUAACCGCAAGGAGCGCCCUAGGGUAAAACUGGUGACUG
rnacentral:rRNA from 1 species